CAUUCCUUCCUGCCAAAGCGUAUCGAAGCUGUUCUCCGGAAAUUCGAAACCGAUGUUCUCGAAUAUGCUUCGUAUUUCUUCCUUGUCGCGAUAUCACACAAUGAACGGAGGUUUGAUCGCCCAAGUUCUCCCUAUCUGGAUGUAUACCGGCGCGCGGUAAUGCUGUUAUCAGAAAGUCUGACCUCUCAGAUGGAAGUCCUGCCGCACGUACUUCUAUAAUAAUUUUUGAAGCUCAUAUUCCAAAUAUUCGCUUUGAGAGAAAUAUUUUUAAGAUCGAAUAUAGAUAUAUAAAAAGAAA